AGUGUGCUGAUUUGUGGUAAGGAGUAAGGAGGAUGAGUGGAAGAGCUCUUUUGGGAGACAGGCACCAGGCAGAGACAAUUGCAAAGGACCAGUUUACAGAAGUUUAAAGAUACCUGAUGUAUUACUUCAGCAGCAAAUUCAACAAGGCCAAGAUGUCUUCAUUUUCCUCCAGAGCAAGAUCUGUAAGAGCAGUGUGAUGGAAGUAUUGGUCUUCUGUGGCCAGCCGGCGAGAACCCAUCAACAGCUGUGAUGAGCAGAGCAGACAUGGAGAGACAGGAGGCAGCUGAAGCCAAAGAGGACCCACGCCUGGAGCUGUGUGUGUGUGAUUGGAGCAGAGAGAGGCCAGGACCCAAGGAAAUCCCAGCAGCAAGGGAAAAAAACAGAUUGACUCUCAGUGACUCAUUUAGCUCCUGGAUUGGACAGAUCUCUCCCCUGCUGGCAAUUUGGCUGAGCAUCAAUGGACAGAUACCAGGAUGAAUAGCUUAAAAUAAUUAGGGGUUGGGAAUCUGCAAAACUGCUAGCCAUCCAAUUCUUUACUCUGCCUGCAAUGUGAGGCACAAAAAAGAAAUUACAUUUAGGUUAUUAAAUAUUAAGUCAGUGGAUUUGACUCCAUUUGGUCCAGAACAGGAAACUGGAUAAAAUUCAACAUUUAUUUCAUUGUGUUGAUGGCCUGUUUAUCACUGAGCGGGAAAGGAGAGUAAAGAGGAAUUUGACAAAUGAUGGCAAUUGAGACUUCAUGAUUUAAGAACAGCAUCUGAAGCAGUUGCUCUGAAGAGGCUCUCGAUGUGAAAUGAGGUUGCCACAUGCUUGUCGGUGGUGAUGGAGAUACCUGGAGAUGGCUACAGGCGCCUUGCCCCUCAAAAGCUUCUUGUCUGCAAGAGUCGUGGAUGAAAAACACCAGGUAUUUCCAGGGAUACUGGAAUGGCACAAGUUCCAGGAAGUUUGCAGUGAAGUGUCUGCUUUCACUGCUCAGAUUCAAGCCCAUUAAAGGAUUUAAGGAAAUCCAUUCAGUGCUUUGCAAUUAGAACAAAUGUGAACCAUUCCAAUGAGUUGCAGAACAGUGAGGAAGAAGAGCCUGAAAAGGUAACUAAGAGUUAACUGGCUACAUUUCAGCUGUCACCAUUGUCUUACAUCUACAGAGAGAGUGGGGAGAGCCAAGGAGAUUCCCAGAAUAAUGAGAGCAGAUCUGCAGUACAGUGAGGAUCUGGCCUGCUACACUUCUGUGGUGUGCGUUGCAUUUCAGAGCCAGCACUUACCAGAGAUGAUGUUGCUGCUGCCUUUGCUGUCUUCCAGCUCAGAAAUCCCUCCAAACUACUGAAGUACAACUUGCUUCCCUGCCAGAAGAGCACAGAAGUGGAGCCCUGACCUGACCUUCAGAAAGCUGUGAGUGGAAAACCCAAGUUCUAAUUUCUCCUAGAAGAUGCAGGGACUGAGCUUAGAGAGGAGAUAUUUGAGUUCAAGCAACCUGGGGUCUUUGACAGCAUCAUCGCUAUUUCCCUGGGCUGGUUUCCCCUGCUGAGCUGUGCAUCACUACACAGGCUGGAUGAUGUCAGUGCUGCCCAAGCAAGCUUCAGUUUGGCUGCUGGAUAAAGGGGAGAGUUGUCGUCACCACAAAGACAGAAAACCAAAGAAAGCCUGUGUCUUCGAGCUAAAAAGCCAGCUAAAAUGAAGGCAUACGCCUCUCCUUUUGAUGUAUUAUGGAGGCAAUAACACACAGACAUCUUGGUGUUGUCUGUCCAUUGGCAGCACUGGCUCAUGAAGCAGUUCCCCACCCCCAGAUUUGUGUCAGACACUUCAGCAUGCUGCUCAUCUGUGGGAUUUUGCCAUUCUCCUGCAUUUCCAUGAGCAAUGCCACUGUCUCACACCUGCACCUCAGGUCAGUUGUUUAAAGACAGCUGCUGUUUGAUGGCACACACUAAAUGAAUUACUGUCCUCAGUUAUGACCUAUGAUUCUGGAGAAUGAGACCUUUGCUGGCCCCACUCAGGAAGCCAAGGGCUAGCAGAAGCAGAGGAAAAGUCCCACUGGGUCAAGGGAAGGGGCAUGGCAGACUAAUGGUCUCCAUUACCACAAGGAGAACUUUGUUCAACUUCUUAUGCCAGAAAGGACUACCCGGACUGGAAGGUAAAUCUUCCUGAAGAUAGAAGAAAUAGAGGUUAGAGUACCAUAUUUAUCUCCAGCUAGCAAAUAGUGAGAUACUGCAAAACAGAACUGGAGUUUCAGCAGAAGGAAUGUGCCACUGAAUGGUAACGAUGACACAGCCACGCUUUGCUCUUAGGUGGAAGACUGCUCUUCAGCAUCUGGCCCAGGUCAGACAGGUAUUUGCGUGUCAUAUGCGGCAUCGUACAUUGAAAAGCUUGAUGUGUGAGGAGAAUGGAGAUCGAGCACAUCCACAGUAGCAGCGCCUGGUCGGGUUCUCCAGGACGCUGGGGAAGGAGCAGCUCAGUGCUGCCCACAGGGUGUCCCUCCGGGGGAGGGCACACAGUGUGGCCGUGCAAUGUGCACAGAGCUGGUGGCACUCGCUGGAUUUUCCCAGAAGACAAACAGCACCGGUCCAGAUCAAACACCUCCCAGGAGAAGUUCAGACUUCUUUGUUAGAGAAAAUGAGAUGACGCCAAUUUUAUCCGUGUUAACUAACAGGGAGAAAGGGAGACAAACUCAGUGUGGUUAAUAUUCUGAAGAUGUGACUUAAUUUCAUAUGCUUCAUUCUGUCCCAUUUUUGCCCAGGCAGUGAAGUGCUAAAGGAAGAAACCCAACAGACCUCAGCACACUGGGCCGAGAAGUAGAAUCCAAAACAAAAUAGAUCUAUCUGCUAUUGGUUGUUGAGACAGACAAAUCUACGCAUCUGCUUUUUAUACAUCAGUGUCACAACAACAGUAAGUGAAGCUCAUUCCAUAACCAAACAAGCUGCACCUUCUUGAAAAUGGAAUUUAAAAACAUAAUCACACUGUAUUUCAAAUGCAUUAUUCUCAGGUAAGAGUCAAACAGCCGGUAAUGCUUAUUUGCUAUGAGUUGCAGCAGAGGCACCUUCUAAGGUCCCUGCAGUUCCCUGGCUGAGGGCAUACAACACAGUCACGGAUUCAUGUAACCUUUCUUGCUACAGAUAUGAAAAAUGAGGAGGUUGUCCUGCACAGACUUGAGGGGAAAGGCCCACUAAACAAAGCUGCCCUCUUCCUAAGCUUACAGAAAGUUCUCUCACUCUGGAGGGUGUUGGUUUUUUGUUUCCUUCCAGAGAGCAGACUGUAGCUGCCACCAGUUUGUUCUCAGAAGUAGCCCAGGAAUUGCAUUUUUCCAUCCUUAAGAUUAUCAGUUUUAUAAGUUUCUUGCACAGCAAACUCAACUUUACUUUGUUCAGAUCAGAACAGCUAUUGGACGCCCUUUUUAUCAGCACCCAUUUCUAGCACUCCACAUAAGGUAUGCACCUGCUGUUGCUUUUAUUUCUGUUAUUAUUUCUGGAUCUCUUAAAGCAUGUUCAUACACACUAAUGCUUGCACACUCACAGACACACACAUACCUCCAACACAGGCAGUUUUGCAGGAAGGAGCAGGACAGAGAGAGACCACAGUACCUACAACGUGUACCACACUUCACCGCAAUCUGGACUGUUGUGUAUUUGUUGUUACCGGAAGCAAGAAUCUCAAUGGAAACUAAAGAUCAUUUUGAAGCAGCAUCUCCCCGCAUCUACACCAAAAUUAACAUGGUAGUUUAUCAGGUUCUUUACUGGCAUAAGAUGAAACAAAAAAGAAAACCCACCAAAAACCUCCAAACCAGAACCUUAUUUUUAAAGGAAACUGACAAUUAAGGUAAUGACUUUGUUUCAGAGCAAUAUCUGGAAUGUAGCUUUGUUGUUUCUUUUCCUUUUUUUUUUUUUAAGAAAAACCAGCAACAUUUCUAAAACCCAAACUCCAUUCAGUGGUUUUCGUUUGACUUUUUAUUAUUUAAAUACACCAUACUAGAGCAAAUGUCUCUGAAAAUAUCACAAAUAAAAGAUUUUUCUUCAUUCAGCAAAUUAGAAGUAGGUGAAAAUUUCUACACAGUAGCUGCUAUGAGCCUGACUUGGUUUUUUUUUUCCUUUUUCUCCUUUUGUUUUUUUUUUUUUGCCAUGGGAAGUAGCAACAUUAGGACAAAAACACUUACAUGCAUA